rnacentral:lncRNA from 1 species
UAGCAAAUGUCGCGUCAAACUGUGACAGAGAAGCCAACCGCAGUGUCAACAAAGCGUGUCUACGGCGUAUGUGGUCGCCAUGUCAACUACAGUUUCUGUUUGCCGGAGUCGUGAGAACCGCGUUCCAACUUUCAGAGUGAACACCGGCCACCUGUUUACUACAGCAUUUUGAAGAGAAAAGACACCCACCUUCAGACAUGCAGAGGACUUUAGUCGACAUUAUAUCCAAGAUACCAACCCUUGACUCUGACCUGUCAUCAUCUGACACCGAAGAAGACAUGUCUAUUCUUCAUCAGCAUCCACCAGUGAGUCACUCUCUGGAAGGGACCAGUUUAGAAAAGUCAGAAGUCAAGGUGUGUGUUUGUGUUGGUGCGAGAAAAUAUAAUAAUUUAUCAGAUCACAUUGUCUUUGACAAAAUAUUUACUCAAAUCUGUUGCAGUUUUUGCCUUCUUGGACUGCUGAUGACCAAAAAGGUGAUUAUAAUCAUCUGCUUCCAAUGGGUCACAAUACAGAAAGACCUAUUAAUGAAAGAGUGAAACAUAAAACAGAAAGCAAUCCUUCAGCAAACAAGACACAAUUGACUGAAAACCAGCUCUGUUCUUUUUUGUCACUGGCAGUAAGUUAGGAUGUAUUUAAUCACAUUUUCAGCCAAGGGAUACUAAAUAAAGGCCUAUGUAACAAAUUAUUAUUUCAACAGCCUCUUGAUACCUGGGAUCUCGACCACGUCCUUCAGACUCUAAAGCAACAUAAACCUCUUGUCAAGCCAAUUCAGGCUGAUAUACUAAAAGGUUGGAUUGCAGCCACUGUUUUAUCCAUUAACAUUUACGCUACAUUUCAGAAUAACACAAAAUGAUCUUUUCUUUUUUAUAGACAAUGAAAGGGAAAUGCAUGAAAAUGAUUUAAUGGAGCAGCUGGUUGCUUUUUGUGAGAGGAAAGUAAAUGAAACGGAAAUAAAACCUGCCAAAUCUGAUAAUACACAAGAAUUAUCUCUCAGAGCAACUGGGAGAGACGUGGUGGACUUUAAAAGGAGCUCAGUACAAUUACAACUCAAUGACGAUUCUCCCACUAUAUAUAUUGAUUUGCGCACAAAUGAAUUUCAAACAACACUGUCAGACGUUAGCCAGAGUGACAGUGCUAUAUGUCCUACAAACCUGGACAAGGAAAUUAUCUCCUCUAAAGAGACCACAAUUCCAAUAGCAAAUGGACAGAAAAGAGAAUUCGCAGGAAAGCGAUUACUACUGCACAACUCAAGUCAGUCAAAACAAAGUAUGUCAGAGAUGUCCGUGAGCUUGAGAAAUCCACAAGGUUUGGCUGAGGCUAGGCAGAGAAACUCUUCAGGGAAAACUAUAAAAGAAAACCAGCUUCAGGAUUCUGAAUCUUGCUGUAGUGAACCAGGUAUUCAGCGGGUCAAUGUCUGCUGUUCGCCUCCAAAAUAUAACCAUAAACAGAAUUCUCAAUCUUCUCACUUUCCAGUUGCUGGAAACAAACAAAGGUACGUAAUAAUCUUACUUUUAUUUCUUAACCUAAGACAUGAACACAACAUAAUAUUUACAUUUAUCCCCAUGUGCAAAGAGAUCACCACAAUCAUAAAAUCAGAUAUGAGAAAGAUCUCAAGUUUUUGCAAACAUCCAGACCUCAACGUUCGGCAAAUAACAGGGAUGACGUGGCUGAGAGGACUGAUAUUCUUUAUGACCCUGUGA